rnacentral:rRNA from 1 species
CCCUUAGAUGUUCUGGGCUGCACGCGUGCUACAAUGAAGCGUCCAACAAGAUGCGAAGCCGCAAGGCUCAGCGGAUCUUUGAAGUCGUUUCGUGACCGGGACAGUUGAUUGCAAUUAUUCGACUCGAACGAGGAAUUCCUUGUAAUCGCGAUUCAUCAUAUCGCGCUGAAUACGUCCCUGCCCUUUGUACACACCGCCCGUCGCUCCUACCGAUUGAGCGAUCCGGUGAAUUAUUUGGAGUGUCCACGCAAGCCAAUCCGUUUACGUGGGUGCGAAAUUUUGUAAACCUUAUCGCUUAGAGGAAGGAAAAGUCGUAACA